GACGACGACUGCGGGCGGUGAGUAGGUCGAUGAGAGCGGUAGGGUAUCGUAAGAUAGAGUUUGAGAGUGGCGAACGGGUGAGUAACACGUAGGGAAUCUACCCUUAAGACGGGGGACAACCCAGGGAAACUUGGGCUAAUACCGGAUGAGAGUGCGAGAGAUUGCAUUUAAAAGGAUGGCGAAAGUUGUCGCUUAGGGAUGAGCCUGCGGUCUAUUAGUUAGUUGGUGAGGUAAGAGCUCACCAAGGCGAUGAUAGAUAGGCGGCCUUAACGGGUGGUCGCCCACACUGGGAUUGAGAUACGGCCCAGACUCCUACGGGAGGCAGCAGUCGAGAAUAGUCUACAAUGGUCGGAAGACUGAUAGUGCGACGCCGCGUGAACGAUGAAUCCCUUCGGGGUGUAAAGUUCUUUUAUAUGUGAGCAGUGCUUCUUAUAUUAACAGUAUGGGGAGAGAGAUAUUAGCAUAUGAAUAAGCAACGGCUAACUCCGUG
rnacentral:rRNA from 1 species